rnacentral:lncRNA from 1 species
GGCACAAGCAGGUCCUGAAGGCAGGAUCCUGAAGAUCAGGCACCACCUGACAGAAUUCUCAAGCACCUGACCCAUCACCUCUGCAGUGCAUCCCUUUCCAGAAGUCCACUCUCCUGAUUCACCACAAGUGGAAGUUUUAACAAUGGAAACACCAUUGUGGAGACUGUGCAAGGUGUCCACAUUGCUAGCUGGGCGGUGAAUGAUUCAGCUCCAAAAUCCCAUUUGAUUGCUUGCUCUUUCCAGACACAACUGCAGCAAACUGGAUUGUCUAGACACAGAUGAUGAGACAGAGUUUAGGGUGCAAGAAGCUAACUAGGGAUCAACACCUGUGUAAGGAAGCAGGUGGAAGCACGAUUGAAGUUGAGAAAGAUGAAGAAGUUGAACUGCCCUGCAGGCCAGACAGAGCCUUGCCAAACCAGUGAGGAACUCCCAGGAAGUCCUGCCUGCCAGUUUCCCACGUGGAGCCUAAACAGUCGUGCUUUUAUCUCUCCACCUUGCUCAGUCACCAGAUGCAGGCCACGCCCAGAAGGGCAUGUUUUUCUCUGCAGCUCAGACUCUGAUGUUGAGGAGCUGGGAGAUGGAAGCCACCUGCUGACUGCACUCCCUGCAGCUGGUCAGCCCAUCCUUCUCGAGGGGCAUCUCAAUGGCAUCUUCUUCAGAAUGCAAGGCUGGGUGUAGUGGCCCACGCCUGUAAUCCCAGCACUUUGGCAGGCCGAGGCGGGCAGAUCACCGGAGCUCAGGAGUUCGAAACCAGCCUGGGCAACAUGGCGAAACCCUCUCUCUACUAAAAAUACAAAAAUGAACUGCACAUGUUGGCGCACACCUGCAAUCCCAGCUACUCAGGAGGCUGAGGCAGGAGAAUCGCUUGAACC